GACGAACGCUGGCGGCGUGCUUAACACAUGCAAGUCGAACGAUGAAGCCGGAGCUUGCUCUGGUGAAUUAGUGGCGAACGGGUGAGUAACACGUGAGUAACCUGCCCUUGACUCUGGGAUAACUGCUAGAAAUGGUAGCUAAUACCGGAUACGACCCUCGGAGGCAUCUGCAGGGGGUGGAAAGAAGUCCGGUCAAGGAUGGACUCGCGGCCUAUCAGCUAGUUGGUGAGGUAACGGCUCACCAAGGCGACGACGGGUAGCCGGCCUGAGAGGGUGACCGGCCACACUGGGACUGAGACACGGCCCAGACUCCUACGGGAGGCAGCAGUGGGGAAUAUUGCACAAUGGGCGCAAGCCUGAUGCAGCAACGCCGCGUGAGGGAUGACGGCCUUCGGGUUGUAAACCUCUUUUAGUAGGGAAGAAGCGAAAGUGACGGUACCUGCAGAAAAAGCACCGGCUAACUACGUGCCAGCAGCCGCAGUAA
rnacentral:rRNA from 1 species